CCUACGGGUGGCUGCAGUGAGGAAUAUUGGUCAAUGGGCGAGAGCCUGAACCAGCCAAGUCGCGUGAGGGAGUACUGCCCUAUGGGUUGUAAACCUCUUUUGUCGGGGAGCAAAAGCCGGACGUGUCCGGCUGUGAGAGUACCCGAAGAAAAAGCAUCGGCUAACUCCGUGCCAGCAGCCGCGGUAAUACGGAGGAUGCGAGCGUUAUCCGGAUUUAUUGGGUUUAAAGGGUGCGCAGGCGGAUUUUUAAGUCAGCGGUCAAAUCGUGGGGCUCAACCCCAUCCAGCCGUUGAAACUGGGGAUCUAGAGUGUGCGAGAGGUAUGCGGAAUGUAUGGUGUAGCGGUGAAAUGCUUAGAGAUCAUACAGAACACCGAUUGCGAAGGCAGCUUACCAAUCUAUAUCUGACGUUGAGGCACGAAAGCGUGGGGAGCAAACAGGAUUAGAUACCCUAGUAGUC
rnacentral:rRNA from 1 species